UGAGGGAAUAUUUGGGUCAAUGGGCGGAAGCCUGAACCAGCCAAGUCGCGUGAGGGAAGACGGUCCUACGGAUUGUAAACCUCUUUAGCCGGGGAGUAAAGUGCGUGACGGGUCACGCAUUGAGAGUACCCGGAGAAUAAGCAUCGGCUAACUCCGUGCCAGCAGCCGCGGUAAUACGGGGGAUGCGAGCGUUAUCCGGAUUCAUUGGGUUUAAAGGGUGCGUAGGCGGCUUUGCAAAGUCAGCGGUGAAAGGCCCGGGCUCAACCCGGAAAGUGCCGUUGAUGCUGUGAGGCUGGAAUGCGGAUGCUGUGGGAGGAAUGAGUGGUGUAGCGGUGAAAUGCAUAGAUAUCACUCAGAACACCGAUUGCGAAGGUAUCUCACAAAUC
rnacentral:rRNA from 1 species